CUCCAGUGCACUUUUAGUUUCACUCUCACAGCUUCAUGCACUGUCCUCUCCUGGGCAUACUGUGUGGCCUCCCAGGCCUUCUUCUGAAACCUGAGUGGAAGCCUUCCUGAGCUCACAAAUCCUGCAUUCUCCAUGCCUAUAAACUCAGCACCAACAACGCCAAGAUCUGCUGCCAACUUGAGCAGUAGCUAGGCUUCCUUGUCUGGGGCUGUAGGAGUCUCCUAAGUGCCGGCAGUGCAGCAUGAUAAGAACUGAACCCUAGGCAACAGAUUCUCUGGGUGCCCCUUCUCCAGCAUGGUGCCCUGGGGCUUUUUUCCCCAAAGGAAAGCCUUUCACUUUUGUAAUUUUGAGGGUGGAGCCUUGCUGAUUCCUUUCACGCCCUCAAGCUGUUUUUCCUAUUGUCCUGUUGUAAAGUAUUUGGCUUCCUUUAAAUCUUAAUCUUUUAACAACCAGACUCUCCUGUACUUUAUCUCUGCUGGCUUCAGUUUACCAGAGGUUCCUUUCUGGCAAAACUCAAAACUUUUCAAAAGGGUUUUUUGCUCCUGAAUUUCAGAAUAGGCUUGGUUAAAGGGGGCAAGCAAUAUCCAUGCCAGAGCCUCAACAAUGGAUUGCCUUGAAAUUUCCUCUAUCAUAUUAGUCUUGCCACUCUUAAUUUCAGUCUCCUGCAAAGUCUCAGGACAUGAGCAAAAUAUAGACAAAGGAUAACACACAUGGCAUGAAAUCCACUUGCCAAUGCAGUCCGUGUUUGCAGCAGAACCCUCCUGAGUCUGGUCUUUACCAUCUGCAUUUUUUUUUUAUCAGCAUUCCAGCACACGACUGUAAUCCCAGCACUUGGGAGGCUGAGGCAGAAGGACUGUCAUGAUUUUGAGGCUAACCUGGGCUGCAUAGUGAGUUUAAGGCCAGCUUGAACUGCACCUCAUCUCAUAUAACAAACAAAGGCAAAAAACCAGAAUCUCCCAUCACGCUCCACUUAUGAUGGUCCAAGGGUGCUUCUCCAUCUGGCAUCUCUAAACCUUCCCAAACUCCUCCCGUGAACCAGUUCCUGAACCACACGGUGAGGUAGUCGCAGCUGUGACUUUACCCUUAGUGGUGUGAGCAGGUGGCUAUGAGGUAGGGGUCAAAAAGUGUGAGAAAUUCAGAUCUCACUUAUCUUCAAAUAUUAAAUUUUAAAUGAAUAAAAUAAUCUCAUGUAUUCUCCAGCUACUAUGUUAUAUAGUUCCUAUUUUACAUAUAAGUAUGGUGCUAUAAUGAAUAACGCUGACCCUGGAUUUAAAUUCUUGCCUUUUCCCUCAUUAGGAAGAAGCGUAGGUUUGUUUUGUUUUGUUCUCCCUACAGUACGGAGUCUUCUUGUGACACCAAAAACAAGGGCUAGCUGGUUUCCAAAUGUCCUUUUGAAUCUUCAGUUGUCCUCAGUCCUAACAUGACAACACCUGCAGCCUGCUACUGGGGCUUGAACCCAGGGCCUUCACACUGAGCUACAUCUCCACGCCUUUUUUAACUUUUUAAAAAUUUUGAGACAGCAUUUUGCUAAGUUGCCCAGCCUGGUCUCCAAUUUGUGGUCCUCCUGCCUCAGCUUCCCAGAGUAGAGUGCUGAGAUUACAAGCCUGCACCACCAUGUCCGGCUUUGGAAAUGUUUUUAAAUUACACUGCCACCUUACUGUAUCUCAGAUCCAAAAGUGGAGUCUUAACUUGAUAUUCCAGUGGAUUGUGCGCCAUUUCUUCUUGACUGCACCUUAACUCAUUAGACUAAAAACGAACUCUUUUCACGGAAAGAUGUCAGGUUCACCUUCAUUUCUAUUAAUAGUGCCAUCAUUUUCUCUAUUGCCCUGGAGAUGAUUUCAUAUUCCUCCUUCUCAUUUUCUAUUUUUCUUUGUCUCUCCUGCUGUACUCCUCCAGGAUUAGUCAGUACUUAGUCACCAGGCUGAAGGUCUCCCAGAUUCCUCCUAGUUAAGGUUUUGUUUCCACUCUGCCACCUCCAAGACUUGCCAAGGUCAGUAUAGCUGUGACCUGGUGUCACCCACUUCCUCCCUAACCUCUUGGCCUCUUGGACCCGCCAGGCCUCUUCUGUUUCUAUUCAUUUUACAUUUCGGAAACAUCUUUUUGAUCUUGACACUCAGCUGCUGACAUUGCCUCAGCAGUGCCUCUGUUGCCAGAGAGAAAGCCAGGACAGCUUAAACUGGGUUAAGGCUCCCUGUACUCUGUCACCUCCAUUUCCCCCUUCACCUUUGAAGAUGUGGUCAAAACACUUCACGAAGUGAGCCAGCUCAUUUGCAUAAAACGCAGCAUACUUAACGUGCACACAGGCUAUUGUCUUUAUUUAGAAAGCAAACCUUAGGUUCCUCCCCUUGAAGCCCCCAGGUUUGUAGGACAUUGGAGAAGGGAAAAUAUAUGGAAUUUGUAGCAACUGCUUCUGUUCUGCAUCAUGCAAUUGCCAACUCAGUAACUUUUUUCUUAAACGAGAGUAAACCUGAAACUGGAAUUGGAUCUCAGAAGUAACAUUCAGUGCUAUUUUACACACUUUAUUUCCUCUAUCUGGGCACAUUUUCUUCAGGAGUCCCUUUGGGUCAAGGUCCACUGGUCACCCAGAGUCAGCUAAGCAGACAAAACCUGCUUUAUUUUGGAAAGGGCCCUGCCGAAAGCCGCCAAAUAACUGAGUUCAUUUGGAGGGUUUGAAAAAUGUACUUGUCAUCGUUUGGCCAGGUGCCCUUCCCGGAGCCAGCCGGAGUCCAGAGCUGGGCCCAGCACACUGUGGAGGGGCAUGUGUGGACCGCAAGGGCUCCCUGCCGCUGGUGCUGCCCGCUUGCUUCUCCGCCUUUUCUCCUCCUCUGUCCCCCUCCUCCUCUCCCUCCCUCCCUCCUCCUCCUCCUCUCCCUUCUCGUUUUUCCUGGCAGCCUUCUUCUGUGCCCGCGCCCCCGCAGCUUUUGAACCUCUUGACGUGCGUGCUAAGAGCCUGUGCGUGGACAGAAACCUCAGCGGAGUGUGAGGGGCCUCUGAGUGGGGCGGAACAGCCGGGUUUUGGCAUCCUGAGGGUCCGUGGGCAGACUGUUGGAGGGAGAGGGACUUUAUCAGCUCAAAGUUGAAGACUUCUGAAACUGAGUUGCUCAGCUUCAGAUCUGCAAGGCAGUGAAAUCUCUCGCCGCCGGCCUCCUCCCACCCUACCAGGUGCAGACCCCAGCCACGGUGUUGCAGGCUCCUCAGCCUCUCCUUUCCACCGGGUUCCUUCCCUGACUUUUAGUGGCCCUUUGAGAAAGCCGAGGAAAGAAAAGCUGUUCCUCAUAAAAACCGCUUGCAAGUUUAUUUAAACUUUGUAUUGCUUUUCCUUUCAAGUGCCCUAAUCUUGUAUUUUUAUGAUGCUUUUUGAUUUUCUAAGUUUGCAUUUAUCCACUGUCUGCCUUGAGGAAAUUUCCCUUGGAUGGUUACAGUGGUCCUUAUUGAUCUCCACCCUCUAGAACAAGGCUGAGAAUUUUGGAGACUUCAAGCGACUUCCUCAUUGGUUUGCAGAGUUUGUAACUCUUGGGCCCAAGCUGUUUCCUUUAGAUACUGUUGCCGAGAUUGCAAAUGUUUAUUUCUAGUGUGUGGCUUUUCUUACUUGAAUUACACUGUUGUAGACACUCAUCAGAUGUUCUUAGAAGAACUUUUAAGUAGCAGUAAUUUCAUUUUUUUACAAAGCAUUUCAUUAUUAGGGGUUUUUUUUCUUUUUUCUUUUUGCAGUGUAUUUUGCUUUUUACAGCCCUUACCUUUCCCAGGCAGCGUACCUGACCACCUUGUACCUUUAUUCUAUGCAAGUAUUUUCUCAGCACACACAAGUCCCCCUUAAGACUUUAACAUCUGGGCCGGGGAUUUAGCUCAGUAGUUCCACCGCCUGCCUAGCAAGCGCAAGGUCCCGAGUUUGAUCCCUGGUACCAAAAAAAAAAAAGACUUUAACAUCUGUCUAAGGUCAUUUUACUUUCUCCACCUCUCCAUUUUUCACUUCAAAAGCUCAAUUAAAUAGCUGUUGUUCUUCCCAAUAGCCUAGCAUCUAGGUAUGGACAAGCGCACACAUUCCAUUUAUAUUUUUCUCUUCCUGUGGCCCAGACUGGGCAGCAAGACCGCACAUGAAGGAGCCCUGCAGGGCAUGGGGUGAAACCAGAGUCUCUCCACCGUCCUUUCCUGCCCGGGAGACGAAAAUGGCCCCAGGCCGGGGUGUGCUGUCCCUGGGCACCAAGGGGCUGGGCUCCCUUCAGAGAUCCCCCUGCCUCGCCCUUUCUUCCAUGCGGAGCUGAUCCGAGGUGAGGGUGUGAGUGCACAGCUGGACGGUGAUGGAGAGGUCGGGCCUGCUGGGAAGCGGCUUCUUGCUCUAGCUGGUUUGAGAGCCAGGCCUGAGGCUGCUGAGUUUCCUGCCUCUCUGCUGUCAGGUAUGAGGAUGAAUCAGUCUGCUGUGUUCAAAGGAGUUGCAGGUGCAGGGCAUCGUUUUGAAAAAAUGACAGGAAGUUCCUGGCAUGGCCCGAGGAUGGGCCGGAAGUGAGUUUGCUGUGGCCCUGAGCUCCUCUCCUGAUCCCCCGGCACCCGGCAGCAUCACUCUUCCUGGGGCUGCCUGGAAGACCCAAGUCCUUUUCACCUCGGAGACUUCAAAAGCACACUUGCUUGAAAUUCUUCUUCUCCAGUGUACAAAGAAAAGAUCAUUUCAUUCUGAUGAAGAAGGGCAGUUUUUUGGGAUUUUGUGGUCAAAUUUUUUUUUUUUAAUGACAGUGCUGGGCAGGGAACCCAGGGCCUCUCAGGUUCCAGGCAAGGACUCCAUGCCCAGCCCUUUGGUCAAAUUGUUGUUGUUGAAAGGGAGAAACAUCUGUGUCAUUUAUAGUUACAAAUGUGUGAAUUUGCACAUGAUGAUUUGCUUAUAUACGUGAUAUAGCUGUGUGAGCUAACUCUGCUUACAAGGAGCCCGGAGGGGCCUGAGCUGACUGGAAGCUGCUGUCUUCCUCAUGCUGCAACAGGGCUGCUGCCUUAUUUUAUUUUUUUCGUGAAAGAUUCUUGUGGAAUGAAAACUUAGUUGAGUUCCUACCCAGAAUCGCUGUUACAAUGACGGAGCGCCAGCACUGCUGUUCUGCUGGUGCCAAAGAUGACUGCAGAAAGCUUUAUUCACCAGGGCGAGGCUUGGGUGGGAGUUUGAUUUUGAUUGUGAUUCUGGCUUUGCGGGUUUCCAGAUAAGUCUUAGGAAGCCAGAUGCUUGUGACCUGGCCUGCACACAGCCAGUUUUUGUCCAGUCCAGGUGAGGUUUGACAGGUGCUGCCCAGAAUAAAAGAAGUGGAAAUUGAUGGCAAAGGUGAAGUGAGCCCCCAAGGUCUGUUCCUAACUUCACGGAAAGGGAGAAGCAUGCAUGAGCUCUGUUAGCCAGGAGAAUGUAAGGGCCUUAGUGUUCAGCGAAAAGAGAUGGUGGCAAGACAGUGUCAGUUCAGUGCUGCCCAUGUGGGGUUUUUGACUUCUUCUUUGUGACAUCUCCACCACAGUGAUCUCAGGCCCUGGCUGCUGCCUAGGUGUCUCAGCAGCUGUCAGCAGCCUACUGAGACCUGGUUGUGUGGCUCCCUGUGUGUCUCCCUCCACUGUCUCAUUCCUUCUGCCUUCCAGACCCAAGAACAAAGCUGAGCAGGGUGUGUUGGUGCAUGCCUGUCAUCCCAGGAUCCUGGGAUGGUGCAUCCCUGUCAUCCCUCCUUCCCAUGUUCAAAGCCCCUGCUGCCCUCUCUUCCUUCAAAUCCAGAUCCUUCUCCAGUCUUUCCUUCCCCUGUAGGGCACGGUCACCUCCUGGGGCUGUGACUAGGCUGUUGCUCUCCUACUUCCAUUUUUGCUGCUUUCUUUUUUCGUUGUUUGUUUUGUUUUGUUUUUUGGUACCAGGGAUCGAACUCGGGUCCUUGCACUUGCGCAGCAGAUGGCGAAACCACUGAGCUAAAUCCCUGGCCCUUUUGCUGCUUUCUUAAUGCCUUCCCUAUAGGACAUGGAAUCCAGUUUCUGAAGUUUUCAGAUGCACCGUAGGAUAAACUCCAGUUUCUCCCUGUGCCAUGCCCAGCCUCUUUCAGAAGUGGCCCCAGCUCUUCCCAGGGACCCCAUCCUCCAGCAUUUUCUGCGUUGUCCAGACUGUUCGGCACAUUCCUUUAAUCCCAGCUACUCCGGAGGCUGAGGCAGGAGAAUCACAAGUUCAAGGCCAGCCUGGGCAACUUAACUAGACCCUGCCUCAAAAUAAAAAUAUGAAAUGAUGUCAAAAGGCUAACAGAAACCAAACCAAACUUCCCAGGCUCUGUAGUCAGCAGAGAUUUAAAAAAUGUCCUUUAUUGAGACAUGUGACAUGGAAUAAACUAUGUAUUUAAAGCAUACAAUUUGAACAGCAUGCAUUUUUAAAUGAAUGUAACUCUGAAAUUAUAAUGUUGUCAGGAUGAAUAGUCUAUACCAAAUAAUGUGUGUAUGUGAGAGCUUACCAAAUAAAUAGAGAAAAUUACACCCUCACUGAAUGGUUUUCGAAGGCAUUUGUGGAUAACAUUGCUUUUUGUUUGAGUGUUUGCUUUUGAGACAGGAUCUCACUGUGUAGUUCAGGCUGGCCGUGAACUCAUCAUGUAGCCCACACUGGCCUUGAACUUGUGAUGAUCCUCCUGUCUCAGCCCCCUGAGCACUGAGAUUACAGGCCUGUGCUACCACGCCUAGUUUGUGAAUGAUAUUAAGAGAAUGAUUGCACCUCCUAAGUCAUCAGAUGCUGCUUCUGCCAUGUGUUGUUUACGGUAUUGCCCAUCCCUUUGUAUUUCAGCAGGAUAUUUCUUCUGGUGGGUGCCCUCAAAGCCAACACCACCCAGCCCAGCAUCGUGGAAGAAGGGCAGGUGCUCAAAUGUGAUUGGUUCUUCAGCCGCCACUGCCAGCCAAUCGAAUUCGACUCAACAGAGGUUCCAGUCCGUGGUUGCUUGGCCCUGUGACUUGGGUCCUGUGACGAGGUGGAACAUCAUGGUGUCGAUGUGGUCGCACAGCCGGGAGCCAGGAGAGACAGAAGGAGCAGGAGUCCCAGUGUCCUCUUGGCCAGCAGAAACCCAGGGACCCAACUUCCUUCCACCAGGCUGCACCUCUUCAGGGUUCCACAUUUCCCAGUGGCCCCACAGGCUAGCAUCCAAGGCUUUAGCGUGGGGGUAUUCGGGGGCAUUUACUAUCCACUGGAGAUGGAUGAGCUAACAACCUUGACCUCCCUCCUUUCAGUUCUCUGGGUCUCCUGUAGGCACGUUCCGGCCUCAGCCUUGCCUGGGCUGUCUCAUCUGUCUGGAACGUUUCUCUCCCAGAGGCCCAUUGGGUUGUCUCUGUCACCAUCUUGGACACGUGCUCUAAUGUCGCCUUCUCAGGAAUGCUCUGGCCAUCUUAUUUCCCUCGUACUUCCUUCUUCUCUGCUGUAUUUUUCCCUAUAGUACUCACACUGCUAUGUAAUUUACUCAUUUAUUUUUAGUGAAGAGAAUAAAUCCUCUCUCUCAGAAUUUAAA